ACGAAGGUUUUGAUCAUGGCUCAGGAUGAACGCUGGCGGUAUGCCUAACACAUGCAAGUCGUACGAGAGUUUUUAACUCUAGUGGCGGACGGGUGAGUAACACGUGAGAAUUUGCCUUUAGGAGGGGGACAACAAUUGGAAACGAAUGCUAAUACCCCAUAUGCUUUCGAGUGAAAUGGAUUUUAUCCGCCUAGAGAGAAGCUCGCGGCUGAUUAGCUUGUUGGUAAGGUAAGAGCUUACCAAGGCGACGAUCAGUAUCUGGUUUGAGAGGACGAUCAGACACACUGGAACUGAGACACGGUCCAGACUCCUACGGGAGGCAGCAGUGGGGAAUUUUCCGCAAUGGGCGAAAGCCUGACGGAGCAAUACCGCGUGAGGGAAGAAUGCCUAUGGGUUGUAAACCUCUUUUUUCAGGGAGGAAUAAAAUGACGUGUACCUGAAGAAUAAGCAUCGGCUAACUCCGUG
rnacentral:rRNA from 1 species